rnacentral:rRNA from 1 species
GACGAACGCUGGCGGCGUGCUUAACACAUGCAAGUCGAACGGAAAGGCCCUGCUUUUGUGGGGUGCUCGAGUGGCGAACGGGUGAGUAACACGUGAGUAACCUGCCCUUGACUUUGGGAUACUUCAGGAAACUGGGGCUAAUACCGGAUAGGAGCUCCUGCUGCAUGGUGGUGGUUGGAAAGUUUCGGCGGUUGGGGAUGGAUUCGCGGCUUAUCAGCUUGUUGGUGGGGUAGUGGCUUACCAAGGCUUUGACGGGUAGCCGGCCUGAGAGGGUGACCGGCCACAUUGGGACUGAGAUACGGCCCAGAAUCCUACGGGAGGCAGCAGUGGGGAAUAGUGCACAAUGGGCGGAAGCCUGAUGCAGAAACGCCGCGUGCGGGACGACGGCCUUCGGGUUGUAAACCGCUUUCGCCUGUGACGAAGCGUGAGUGACGGUAAUGGGUAAAGAAGCACCGGCUAACUACGUG